GACGAACGCUGGCGGCGUGCUUAACACAUGCAAGUCGAACGGAAAGGCCCUGCUUUUGUGGGGUGCUCGAGUGGCGAACGGGUGAGUAACACAUGAGUAACCUGCCCUUGACUUUGGGAUAACUUCAGGAAACUGGGGCUAAUACCGGAUAGGAGCUCCUGCUGCAUGGUGGGGGUUGGAAAGUUUCGGCGGUUGGGGAUGGACUCGCGGCUUAUCAGCUUGUUGGUGGGGUAGUGGCUUACCAAGGCUUUGACGGGUAGCCGGCCUGAGAGGGUGACCGGCCACAUUGGGACUGAGAUACAGCCCAGACUCCUACGGGAGGCAGCAGUGGGGAAUAUUGCACAAUGGGCGGAAGCCUGAUGCAGCAACGCCGCGUGCGGGAUGACGGCCUUCGGGUUGUAAACCGCUUUCGCCUGUGACGAAGCGUGAGUGACGGUAAUGGGUAAAGAAGCACCGGCUAACUACGUG
rnacentral:rRNA from 1 species